AUUGAACGCUGGCGGCAGGCCUAACACAUGCAAGUCGAGCGGGGUUUUCGGACCUAGCGGCGGACGGGUGAGUAAUGCGUAGGAAGCUACCCGAUAGAGGGGGAUACCAGUUGGAAACGACUGUUAAUACCGCAUAAUGUCUACGGACCAAAGUGUGGGACCUUCGGGCCACAUGCUAUCGGAUGCGCCUACGUGGGAUUAGCUAGUUGGUGAGGUAAUGGCUCACCAAGGCGACGAUCCCUAGCUGGUUUGAGAGGAUGAUCAGCCACACUGGAACUGAGACACGGUCCAGACUCCUACGGGAGGCAGCAGUGGGGAAUAUUGGACAAUGGGCGCAAGCCUGAUCCAGCCAUGCCGCGUGUGUGAAGAAGGCCUUCGGGUUGUAAAGCACUUUCAGUAGGGAGGAAGCGUUGUGUGUUUAAGAGAUGUAUCACUUGACUGUACCAACAGAAUAAGCACCGGCUAACUCUGUGCCAGCAGCCGCGGUAA
rnacentral:rRNA from 1 species